rnacentral:lncRNA from 1 species
GCAUUUAUCAUAACUUUUUAUGCGCUUAUAGAAAAUUUUUUUAAUUUGUACAAAAAAAAAGUGUUUAUAUUUUCCAUGCCAUCAAUCAAAAAAUUCAUUAGCAAUUGUUGGAUCCUUCCACUGAGUUGAAUUUCUAUCCCCUCAUCCUACUUUCAGAAUCAAUCUUCCAUACAAGGAAAGUGGAUCGGGAUCCUCUGCCGCGCAUGUUUUGCAUCAUUUAAAUCGAUGCAUGUUUUGCAUCAUUUCCCUAGAUUGCCGAACUCUCUCCUGGUGUUGCUAUCGGAUCUUCACUGGCGGGCGACAGAUCUUCCCCU